GUGGGGGAUAACGCACCGAAAGGUGUGCUAAUACCGCAUAAUCUCUAAGGAGAAAAGCAGGGGAUCGCAAGCCUCGCGCUGAUGGAGCGGCCGAUGUCUGUGGUGAGGUAAAGGCUUACCAAGGCGACGAUCAGUAGCUGGUCUGAGAGGACGACCAGCCACACUGGGACUGAGACACGGCCCAGACUCCUACGGGAGGCAGCAGUGGGGAAUUUUGGACAAUGGGGGAAACCCUGAUCCAUCCAUGCCGAGUGCGUGAAGAAGGCCUUCGGGUUGUAAAGCUCUUUCAGCCGGAACGAAAUGGUCACGGUUAAUACCCGUGACUACUGACGGUACCGGAAGAAGAAGCACC
rnacentral:rRNA from 1 species